GCCAGUGGCAUUGCCGGGUAGCUAUGUUCGGAAAAGAUAACCGCUGAAAGCAUCUAAGCGGGAAACUUGCCUCAAGAUGAGAUCUCACUGGGAACUUGAUUCCCCUGAAGGGCCGUCGAAGACUACGACGUUGAUAGGCUGGGUGUGUAAGCGUUGUGAGGCGUUGAGCUAACCAGUACUAAUUGCCCGUGAGGCUUGACCAU
rnacentral:rRNA from 1 species